GCGUUGUCCGGAAUUAUUGGGCGUAAAGAGCUCGUAGGCGGCUGGUCGCGUCUGUCGUGAAAUCCUCUGGCUUAACUGGGGGCUUGCGGUGGGUACGGGCCGGCUUGAGUGCGGUAGGGGAGACUGGAACUCCUGGUGUAGCGGUGGAAUGCGCAGAUAUCAGGAAGAACACCGGUGGCGAAGGCGGGUCUCUGGGCCGUUACUGACGCUGAGGAGCGAAAGCGUG
rnacentral:rRNA from 1 species